rnacentral:rRNA from 1 species
GACAGAGGGUGCAAGCGUUAAUCGGAAUUAUUGGGCGUAAAGCGCGCGUAGGUGGAUUAGUAAGUUGGAUGUGAAAUCCCUGGGCUUAACCUGGGAAUUGCAUUCAAUACUGCUAGUCUAGAGUACAGUAGAGGGAAGUGGAAUUUCCGGUGUAGCGGUGAAAUGCGUAGAUAUCGGAAAGAACAUCAGUGGCGAAGGCGACUUCCUGGACUGAUACUGACACUGAGGCGCGAAAGCGUGGGGAGCAAACAGG